GACGAACGCUGGCGGCGUGCUUAACACAUGCAAGUCGAACGGAAAGGCCCGGCUUGUGCGGGGUGCUCGAGUGGCGAACGGGUGAGUAACACGUGAAUGACCUGCGCUGGACUUGAUGAUAACUUCAGAAAACUGGUGCUAAUACCGGAUAGGAGCGCCUGCUGCAGGGGGGGGGUUGGAAAUUUUCGGCGGUUGGGGAUGGACUCGCGGCUUAUCAGCUUGUGGGUGGGGUAGUGGCUUACCAAGGCUUUGACGGGUAGCCGGCCUGAGAGGGUGACCGGCCCCAUUGGGACUGCGAUACGGCCCAGACUCCUACGGGAGGCAGCAGUGGGGAAUAUUGCACAAUGGGCGGAAGCCUGAUGCAGCAACGCCGCGUGCGGGAUGACGGCCUUCGGGUUGUAAACCGCUUUCGCCUGUGACGACGCGUGAGUGACGGUAAUGGGUAAAGAAGCACCGGCUAACUACGUG
rnacentral:rRNA from 1 species